GUGGGGAAUCUUCCGCAAUGGGCGAAAGCCUGACGGAGCAACGCCGCGUGAAUGAAGAAGGCCUUCGGGUCGUAAAGUUCUGUCUUUAGGGACGAAUGGGUAUGCGCAAAUAGUGUAUGCUUUGACGGUACCUUAGGAGGAAGCUCCGGCUAACUACGUGCCAGCAGCCGCGGUAAUACGUAGGGAGCAAGCGUUGUCCGGAAUUACUGGGCGUAAAGGGCGCGUAGGCGGGAAUGCAAGUCAGAUGUGAAAACUCCGGGCUCAACUUGGAGAUUGCAUUUGAAACUGUGUUUCUUGAGGGCAGGAGAGGAAAGUGGAAUUCCUAGUGUAGCGGUGAAAUGCCUAGAUAUUAGGAGGAACACCAGUGGCGAAGGCGACUUUCUGGACUGUACCUGACGCUGAGGCGCGAAAGCGUGGGUAGCAAACGGGAUUAGAAACCCCGGUAGUCC
rnacentral:rRNA from 1 species